AUAUCUACCUAGCAGGGGAGACACCAUGACCACAAAGGUGGUUUCCCCCGGGUGUGGCUUGCCCACUGCACCCCAGAUAUGCUGACCCCUGCGACGCCCUCAAACAUGGGAAACUCGACUGCAUAAUUUGUGUUAGUGGGGAACUGCGUCUGCGCUCUCCCCUG